GAGGGAGUAAAAAGAAUGCAUUCCUAUGGACUACUCCUGUGCUUAAUCUCUUUUUCAACAAUUUCUGCAUUCUUUGGGACUAAAAUGUCCCUUCUCCAAGGCUGCUGUCAGAUGUAGGCAUCUUCAGACACCCAGAGGAGUCCACCAGGUGUCCUUCCAUCACAGUCAUCGCCCUGGGCCAAGGUCACUGAAAGGAAGGGGUCUCACAAAAAGCUUCUUUGAUCACCUGAAACUGAGCUGGAGAUGAGGACACCAAAAAAUGUGAUCACAGUGGGACAGAAGUGAGGAAGGUUACCUAAAAGACUAGCUUGGGGUAGGUUAGUCAGAGUAGCACCCAAAGACUUCUGGAGUAUGCAAAUGUAGAGGAGGCUGGGCGUGGCUGUGCAUUUCUAAGUAAUGGCACACAUCAGGAAGUCCCAUAAUCUAGGCUGGAUGAGUGACAGUCAAUCAGCCCAAGAGAGCUUUUUUUCUGCUCUGGGGAGCACCUCAGAUGGGCAUUACCUCCUACCAGAGUAUUUAAUUCAGGUUGACUUGGAUGCUUACCAUACAAGGAGGAUUGACAUUGGUCCGAUAAUGCAAAAAGCAUUUUCCUGCACAGCUGGAACUUUCUUUAGGCAUGGAAAUAAGAAGUCACCCAUUAAGGAGUACUAUUUAAAAUGUGAUUUAUUUGUAGUAUUUAAAGUACUUAGGUACAAGAUUAUUUAUUCUGCAAGAAAAUCUACUUUCCAUACAUUUCCUCUGCUUUUAAAAUGCUGAACAUUUAAUUUUUUCUCAUUUGUCUUGCUGAGCAGCCAUGCUAUGCUGCUUUGGCUGGAGCUAUUGCUUAUUUAAACCUGCAUUAGGGGACAGAGAAUCAGACAUGUGGCAUCAAUAUUCUCUAACUAUUCCACUUGCACAUAAAAGAAAAUCAUGAAUCCUAAGCUCUCAAUAUCACUGUAGAACUACUGCUGCUGUCAUUCAAGCCAGAAGCAGAGGAGCUUGGAAAGCUGUCUGAGGAUUACUUUGAAAGACUUUACCCUUGGGAUGAAAUUGCCUCUUUGUAGUAUACAGUUACCUCAUGGGUCCUAUUAUAUUAAGAGAGAAAAAUAUGGGCUACUUUCACACUGAAAAUACAUGUCAAGUGGGAUUGAAAGAUCUGGAGAGACAUUGUGAUGAGAAAGAAAGGAAUAAAAAGAUACUGAGAUAAAAAAGGUUACUUCAAAGCACCAAAAUGAUACCAUUUUGCAUAAAUAUGUCUAUUGAAAAGCAUUCCAGCUGGUAUCCUUAAAUUAAUGUUAUUACCUACCAUAUAUGUAAUGAAAAGAACUGUACUUUCUAUCUUCCUAAAGGAUGAUGCUUACAUUAAAGCCAUAUUGAUUUUCAAACUAUAAAUACAAAAUUAGUACUAUCACAGGUAUGAGACUUGUGGCCUUUCAAAUCCCUCUCCAUCUUUCAAUCUUCUAACAGAAAUGUGACCCCCCCCAAGCCAUGUUAGUGUCGUGAUGCAAAAUUACUUCAAGCUGGAAAUGCAGUUCAGCUUUGCUCCAUUCUGCUCCAAUGCUGAGUUCCCUCCUUCAACCAGGGAGCUACAAGAAGGAAUUAUACAAUGUGGACCAGUCCAAGAGGGCACUCAGUUGAUCGAGUGAAAUUUAUUGGAUAAAUACAGAAAGAGCUUCCUGAACAGCAAGACUCUUCUCUCUCCAUGCUCAGCUGCUGAGUUAAGCUGGAGCCACCUUUGGUUCCGUUUCCUGACACAGUUGAGAUAUACUUCAGGAAAAAUUAAACUGCUUUCACCC